rnacentral:lncRNA from 1 species
AUGGUAGGGAGCAUUCUCUCCCCAGAAAUAAGUCUGUACCCUCUGGGCACCUGUUGGACCAAGCCCACUUUAUACCCAUGCAAUCAAGAUAAAAUAGUGGCCUUUACGAUGAUUCAGAUUCGUUCUUAUUUCUCUCUUUCUUUUGUCCAACGGUCACCUAAUUCCAGAAUGUAGUUAUGGGAAAAACAUUUGUUUUUUGGACCCGUCUCUGUUCUCAUUCAUUGCAACCAUGCUCUGGCUUACUUUAUCUGUUUUAUAGUACUUCCCAGCCCUACUCCUGCUGUAUAUACAUUUUUGUUUACUAUUUUUAACAAACUUUAAAUUUUUAAUAGUUACAGACUUACUGAAAGUGGCAAAUAUAUUGGAAUUUCAAUAUAUCCCACACCCAGUUUUUCCUAUUAUUAAUAUCUUAUGUUCGUAUAGUACAUUUGUUACAACUAAUGAACCAAAAUUGAUAUCGUUAUCAACUACUCUGUGCUGUUUCUCAGAUUUCAUUUGUUUUUCUCUAUUUUUUUUUUUCUGAUACAGGAUCUUAUCUAGAUAGCACUUUGUAUUUAAUCCUCAUGUCUCCUUUGGCUUCUCUGGACUGUGACAGUUUUUCCUUGGACUUUCCUUGCUUUUGAUGACCUUGAGAGUUUUUUAAGAGUAAUGGUCAGAUAUUUUGCAGCCUGCUUCUCAAUUAAAAUUUGUCUGAUUAUUUUCUCAUGGCUAGACAGGGCUUUGGGGUUUUUGUGAGGAAGAUCGUAACAUAUCAUAUAAAAGGCACAUGCUAUCAACAUGAUUUACUAUUGAUGAUAUUAAUGUUGAUCACAUGUCUAAGAUAAUGUUUGCUAGGUUUCUCCACUGUAAACCUACCCUUGCCCCUGUCACACACUUUUCAUAAUUUACUCUGUGGAACUAAGUCACUAAUCCCACAUUAUUGGUAGAGAAGGGAGUAUCUACACAUGUUAUUUGGACUUCUUCCAUGUAGACUUGUACUCCUUGGUUGGUUGAUUAUAGUAUUGAAUUAUGGGUAUUUAUGCAUUAGAUUAUAACCCCGUGCUGUAUGUGAUGGCUAAUAUUGUCAACUUUAUUGGAUUGAAGGUAUGUCUGUGAUGGUGUUGCCAAAGGAGAUUAACAUUUGAGUCAGUGGACUGGGAAAGGCAGAGCCACCCUUAGUCUGGGUGGAUAUAAUCUAGUCAGCUGCCAGUGUGGCCAAAAUAAAAACAGGCAGAAGAACAUAAAAAGACUAGUUUGGCGUAACUUCCCAGCCUACAUCUUUCGCCCAUGCUGGAUGCUUCCUGCCCUCAAACAUCAGACUUCACAUUCUUCAGCUUUGGAAGUCGGACUGGAUUCCUUGCUCCUCAGCUUGCAGAUGGCUUAUUGUGGGGCCUCCCCUUGUGAUUGUGUUAGUCAAUACUCCUUAAUAAACUCUCCUUUAUAUAUACAUCUUCCUUAUUAGUUCUGUCCCUCUAGAGAACCCUGACUAAUACAAUAUGCUACUUAUUUUGUUGCUCAAACUGUUUCAUCUUUGGCUGUUGGGAGAACUUUCAAAACCCUUUUGACUUAACCCAAUCAUUUUAUUUUUUAAGCACUCAUUUUCGGGCAUCCAGCUGUUCCAGGCUCAUUCUGUAUGAUACUUGCUACUUUAGACUCAUCCAUUUUAAGGAUUUCUGUUUUUUUUUAAUUGAAGAAUGAGUUUAAAAAUUGAGUUCUGGGUUCUAGAUGUGCUCAUUGCUAUUAAAGUGUCUUUGGUUUAGGCCCUCUUUGUGAACAGAGCUAAGGCAUUUAUGUAUGUGUACUGACUCGUGCAUGAAGAAAUAUUUAUAAUUAUUUGUAUGUCUGUCCUUCAGUAUCUAUAUUAAACUAAGCAUGAGAUUAUACAGAUUUUUAUGACUCUAAUCCAGAACGACAUGAUUCCUUCUGCCUUUCUUAUCUAUAACUUCUCCAAGAAUAAAAACUUCACUCUCACUGUUCACCAUGAACUUACUUGUUGGUUCAAUUUCAAUAUACAUAUAUGGUAACUUCACAUCUUUUACUCUGGACCACCACCGAAAGCAACUUUCCCAACUAGAAUAAUGCUUAUGUACAUUUUCUUUUGUUUUUAGUCCUACAGUCCAUUCUAGUUUCCAAAGUUAUUUAGAGUAACAUCUCUUUUUAUCCAUAUCCUACAGUUGGUUAUGUCAGAUAUUUUUAAUACUGGUUCCUUUUUUUGAAGAAUGAGUUUAAAAAUCGAGUUCUGGGUUCUAGAUGUGCUCAUUGCUAUUAAGGUGUCUUUUUUAGAAAUUUUUAGAGUUUUUUUCUAAAAAGAAAAAACGUCACAUAUUAAGGUUUAAUAUUUGCACUGUAACAUUAUACCUGGUAGCCAUUCAUCUUUAUCUGUCACCAGUAAUUCUGACUUCCUCAUAUAUCUUCUUUUGACAUUUAUAGUCAGUAUUGUAAAUACUGUUGUUCUGUUUAUUAACAGAGAUUCCUUGGCAAGAUUUAAUAGCUUCUUCUAUUCCACUGACCCUUUCAAGCUCUUCUUUAUCUCUUCUGGGACACAGGCUGCUCUUCUCAGGGUGUGACCUUCUGUUUUAGUUUGUUAUCAAAUGAUUCAGCCUGAGGCAACACACUCAACCAUUGCUAUUCUGCUUCUCUGGUGAAACACUAGACUUGAGGGCAUUUGAAAAGAACCCUUAGUCUCUCCAGUUUACAGCAUGAGAGGUAAAGCAAAAGACAUCCUCUGUUGAAACUUACCUGUUGCCUUAGCCUAAGAAUAGUUUCUCUGCACUAUGUUGAGAACGUGAGGCUCUUUUCUUAUUAAGAAAGUUGGUAAAGGAUGUUGAUGAAUAUUUAUGAGAGAGGAAAAGGAGGAAAAGAAAAGUGUAUUGCAUAUGUUAUGUUCCUUCUCUAUCUGGACUCUAUUGUAUUCUAUUUAUAUAUGUCUUUAUUUUUGCAAUAAUAUCACAUUGUCUUUAUCACAUAGCUUUGUAGUAAUUCUAGAUAUCAGAUAGUAUAAAUCCUUUUACUUUGUUCUUCUUUUUCAACGUUGUUGUGGUCAUACAUUGUCCUUUGCAUUGUCAUAUAAGCUUUAGAAUCAAUUUGUCCAUUUCUAUAAAAACCUCUGAUGAAACUAGAUUUUGUAUUUCAUUGAAUGUACAAAUCAACUUUGAUAUAACUGAUCUUAAUGAUAUUGAAUCUUCUAAUCUUUGCUCAUAUUAUGUCUUUUCAUUUGUUUAGGUUUUCUUUAAUUUGUAUUUUUCAGUAUAGAUACACUGUACUUUUUCAGUCAAGUUUAUUUCUUUUAUUAUAUGUUUUCAUAUAAUAAAAAUAGAAAUAAAUCAA